UACAGAGGGGGCAAGCGUUAUUCGGAAUUAUUGGGCGUAAAGGGCGCGUAGGCGGCUUGGCAAGUGAUGGGUGAAUCCUCGCUUAACCGAGGAACUGCCCAUCAAACUGCUUGGCUUGAGGCCGGGAGAGGAGACUGGAAUUCCCGGUGUAGCGGUGAAAUGCGCAGAUAAUCGGAGGAAUACCCGGUGGCGAAGGCGGCAUCCUGGACCGAACAUUGACG
rnacentral:rRNA from 1 species